UUUACAAGUCUGUAAACAUACAAAUGUGAUUUGUGUAAACAGGAGUGAGCUUCAUCCAAGGAUAAGUGAAAAUUUCUACUAGAGAGAGUAAAGCUGUAAAAUUGAGUGGUGUUUGAUAAGAAGUUCUUUUUAGGAGCAUCCAACUGUUUCUGGAACCCCGUUCGAUCUGCAAAGAAUGUGUAGUCAAAACAACAAAAAGACCAGAAUCACCGGUUCUGGAGAGCUUCAAUCGCCUUUUUCCACUGUUGUGCUCGGUUUUUGGCAUCCUCGAAUGACAUAACUUUCUUUGGUGUACAAAUCUUGAACUGUGAAGGGCUUGUGACUUGAAUGCUAAGAUCGUUAGGAUUGUCGGACCAUAUAAUGUUCCCUUUGAUCACCAACUUUGAGGGAUCUACGUAAAUCAACUUUGGUUUAUUUGUUAGGAUUAGCUGAACUUUCUUGCUUGUGAGUUUCUG
rnacentral:misc_RNA from 1 species